GACGUAGGGUGCGAGCGUUUGUCCGGAUUUAUUGGGCGUAAAGAGCUCGUAGGCGGUCUGUCGCGUCUGCUGUGAAAACUCGGGGCUUAACCCCGGGCCUGCAGUGGGUACGGGCAGACUAGAGUGCGGUAGGGGAGACUGGAAUUCCUGGUGUAGCGGUGAAAUGCGCAGAUAUCAGGAGGAACACCGGUGGCGAAGGCGGGUCUCUGGGCCGUAACUGACGCUGAGGAGCGAAAGCAUGGGGAGCGAACAGG
rnacentral:rRNA from 1 species